CAAUAGCGUAUAUUUAAGUUGCUGCAGUUAAAAAGCUCGUAGUUGGAUUUCGGGUGGGAAUGGCCGGUCCGCCGUUUCGGUGUGCACUUGCUACGCCCACCUUGCUGCCGGGGACGUGCUCUUGAGUUCACGCUCGGGACACGGAGUCGGCGAGGUUACUAUGAGUAAAUUAGAGUGUUCAAAGCAGGCCUACGCUCUGAAUACAUUAGCAUGGAAUAACACGAUAGGACUCUGGCCUAUCUUGUUGGUCUGUAGGACCGGAGUAAUGAUUAAGAGGGACAGUCGGGGGCAUUCGUAUUUCAUUGUCAGAGGUGAAAUUCUUGGAUUUAUGAAAGACGAACUACUGCGAAAGCAUUUGCCAAGGAUGUUUUCAUUAA
rnacentral:rRNA from 1 species